rnacentral:rRNA from 1 species
GAUGAACGCUGGCGGCGUGCCUAAUACAUGCAAGUCGAGCGAACAGACGAGGAGCUUGCUCCUCUGACGUUAGCGGCGGACGGGUGAGUAACACGUGGAUAACCUACCUAUAAGACUGGGAUAACUUCGGGAAACCGUAGCUAAUACCGGAUAAUAUUUUGAACCGCAUGGUUCAAAAGUGAAAGACGGUCUUGCUGUCACUUAUAGAUGGAUCCGCGCUGCAUUAGCUAGUUGGUAAGGUAACGGCUUACCAAGGCAACGAUGCAUAGCCGACCUGAGAGGGUGAUCGGCCACACUGGAACUGAGACACGGUCCAGACUCCUACGGGAGGCAGCAGUAGGGAAUCUUCCGCAAUGGGCGAAAGCCUGACGGAGCAACGCCGCGUGAGUGAUGAAGGUCUUCGGAUCGUAAAACUCUGUUAUUAGGGAAGAACAUAUGUGUAAGUAACUAUGCACAUCUUGACGGUACCUAAUCAGAAAGCCACGGCUAACUACGUG